rnacentral:snRNA from 1 species
AUACUUACCUGGCAGAGGAGACGCCAUGAUCACAAAGGUCGUUUUCCCAGAGCGAGGCUGAUCCCUUGCAUUGAGGAUCUGCACACCUCUAUGAUUUCCUCACAUGGGGAAAACUCCACUGCAUAAUUUGUGAUGGUGGAGGACUGCAUUCAUACUUUCCCACA